AGCAGCGUGGCAGCCCGGGCCUGGGGUCAGAGGAGGGAAGGGGCACAUUCCAAGACCCUGGUUCCCAGGCCCUGGUUUUGUUUGUUUUCCAUUUGUGACAUGUAUUUUAUUGUUUAGAAGUUUCCACCAGAGCUAUUAUGGAGCACCUUCCUCAGGAGAUGCCUGUAAGAAUCCAGAGUGGCAAACAGGGCGAGCCAGUCCGUCUACAGGGCGCAAGGGCACAGCCCACCCAGGCGUAGCCCAGCACCCCGCACGCUGACCCAGAAAGCGCCACAGGUGUGGAUUCGAAGUGUGACCUCAAACGGCAAACAGCCCACCUGGUCGUGCCCAAGGCAACAGGAGCCACGGAAAAUCAAAUCUGUCACGGCCAGCGCUCCUGCCUGAAGGGACUCAACCUCCUGAACCAGCUGCCCUUACGAAGAGGAAGUGAAGUCGCUCAGUCGUGUCCGACUCUGUGACCCCAUGGACUGUAGCCCAUCAGGCUCCUCCGUCCGUAGGAUUUUCCAGGCGAGAGUACUGGAUAAGGACUUUGCUAAGGACCACCGCUGUCUGUGAGGAGCCUGGGAUCCACCAGGUCCUGCUGAGAUGGGCGGCAUGGGGUGGCCGCUCUGCUGAGCUGGAGGCUGGGGCGUGAAGUCAGCACCUUAUUCUGAGAGCCCCGGGAGCAGCUGAGUUGCCUAGGAUGAAUUAUUGGGCUCACUGUUUGAGUGUGAUCGACUCCAGAGCAGCUGGCACCCUGGAUGCCCCCGUGCCCUUAGCAGGGGGACGACGGCCUGACUGCUGGGAGCAGGAGACAGAGGGAGCCUGUCUGUCAGGAGGUCCCUAAAGGUGAAAACCCCCGGGGGCAAAGGCUAAGCGCUCCUCUGCCCGUGGCUGCCCUCGCUCAGGCCUGGCCACCCACCCGUGCCCUGCAAGCCCAGGUGUCCUUCCUGUGACCUGUCACCUGAGGAGGAGUGGUCUUGGCCCGAGGCACCUGCAGGACACGUCUGCAGGCCCCCAGAGGGAGGAGAGCCCGGGAACAUCUCCAAAGCAGGUGGGGGUGCAGGGGUGCAGGACCAGCUCUGCUUGCCUAGGAGGGGGCAAGGCCGCACGGCUGACCACUGCUCCUCCCUCACAG